GUGUUAGCUUUAAGGACCACAACGUUUCAUCUCUCUGGCUUCAGGAAGGUAGCAGCUUCUGUGCAUUGUUUUAGGAAAUGGUUAAUUGAGGAGCUAAAAGAGCUUUAGUGUAUGCUACACUGGGAGCCACUUUAGUACAGCACAGAGCACUAUAGAUUAAUGCUGUAAUCAAUGAGAAUCUGUUCACUGCAGAGAUCUGUUUUGAUGACAGCAGCACUUAUGGCCUUGUUUAGUGUCACUGUUGUAUAAUGUUGGACACUGCAGGCUUUUUUGGCUUUGAUUUAGAAUGCAAGGACCACAGGGAAUUUUAUUUAAAAUGUUGUAUUUUGGUGGAUUUUUAAAUUGUGUUGUGCAUUUGCUGCCAUUGCUAGCUGAAAUUUAAUGAUUUGAUGCCAGUGGCAUUUAGUUAACCACUCCGAUGCUGCUGUUAUGUUUGCUGGGUUUCUGCAGUUUCUACUACUUCAUACAUUGCACUCAGGAACAGGUGAUUUGGAUUAUUACUGGUUGGAUCCUGCCACGUGGCACAGCCGGGAGACAUCACCUAUUAGUUCGCAUCCUGUAACGUGGCAACCAUCUAAAGAGGGGGACCGAUUAAUUGGACGUGUUAUUCUUAACAAGAGAACAACCAUGCCCAAAGACUCAGGUGCAUUGCUGGGUCUGAAAGUUGUUGGAGGAAAAAUGACUGACUUAGGACGACUUGGUGCUUUCAUCACCAAAGUAAAGAAGGGUAGCCUAGCAGAUGUAGUUGGACACCUAAGAGCAGGGGAUGAAGUUCUAGAAUGGAAUGGUAAACCCCUGCCGGGAGCUACAAAUGAAGAAGUUUACAACAUUAUUUUAGAAUCAAAAUCAGAACCUCAAGUUGAAAUUAUUGUUUCAAGGCCUAUUGGUGACAUUCCCCGGAUUCCUGAGAGCUCCCACCCUCCACUGGAGUCCAGUUCAAGUUCCUUUGAAUCUCAGAAGAUGGAAAGGCCUUCCAUUUCUGUUAUUUCUCCAACAAGUCCUGGAGCUCUAAAAGAUGCCCCACAAGUCUUACCAGGGCAACUUUCUGUGAAGUUGUGGUAUGAUAAAGUGGGACACCAGCUGAUUGUAAAUGUUCUGCAAGCAACAGAUCUACCUGCUAGAGUAGAUGGACGUCCUCGAAAUCCCUAUGUAAAAAUGUAUUUUCUUCCAGAUAGAAGUGAUAAAAGUAAAAGGAGGACCAAAACAGUAAAGAAAAUACUAGAACCAAAAUGGAACCAAACUUUUGUCUAUUCACAUGUACAUCGUAGAGAUUUUAGAGAACGAAUGUUAGAAAUAACUGUGUGGGACCAACCAAGAGUGCAAGAAGAAGAAAGUGAAUUUCUUGGAGAGAUCCUCAUAGAAUUGGAGACAGCGCUUUUAGAUGAUGAACCGCAUUGGUAUAAACUUCAGACACAUGAUGAGUCUUCACUACCUCUGCCUCAGCCAUCACCUUUCAUGCCAAGGCGACAUAUUCAUGGAGAAAGCUCUAGCAAAAAGCUACAAAGAUCUCAGCGAAUCAGUGAUAGUGACAUCUCAGAUUAUGAGGUUGAUGAUGGUAUUGGCGUAGUUCCUCCAGUAGGCUAUAGGUCUAGUGCUAGAGAAAGUAAAUCUACAACAUUAACUGUGCCAGAACAGCAAAGAACAACUCAUCACCGCUCACGUUCAGUAUCUCCUCAUCGCGGCAAUGAUCAGGGAAAGCCGCGUUCACGUUUACCAAAUGUGCCAUUACAGAGGAGUUUAGAUGAAAUUCAUCCAACAAGAAGGUCACGUUCUCCAACCAGACACCAUGAUGCCUCCCGAAGUCCAGUUGAUCAUAGAACCAGAGAUGUGGAUAGUCAGUAUUUAUCAGAACAAGACAGUGAGCUUCUUAUGCUGCCCAGAGCAAAACGAGGACGAAGUGCAGAAUGCCUACAUACUACCAGUGAACUGCAGCCCUUUCUUGACAGGGCUAGGAGUGCUAGUACCAACUGCUUGAGACCAGAUACUAGUUUGCAUUCACCAGAACGAGAAAGGUAUAAAAUAAAGACUUUCUUAAUUUCUUAUCAUUUGUACUAGUGAUUUUUUUCAGUCACUUUGUUUUGUUUCAUGACAGCCUUACAGGUUUAUUCAUUCAUGUACACUUUGCUAACUGUCUACAUUUCCCCUUCCCUUAUUAUACAUGUCUAUUUAGAGAUAUGCGUAUGUGGAUAAACCCAAGGGUACACAUACACAUAUUUCUAUGAAUGUUGUUGCAAAUGGUGUGGUGUAAUUUGUAACUGCUUCUGGCUGCUGCUUUU
rnacentral:sRNA from 1 species